rnacentral:tRNA from 1 species
GGAGGUAUAAACCAGUUGGCAGGUUGCUACUUUAAGUAGUUUGGUGGUUCAAAUCCACUUAUCUCCU